AUGAACGAAUUUGCCAUGGGCCUUGCCCUUUUCCAAGCUUCAAAUUCUGUGGAUGAAGUUUGGAGGUGGAAAGAUCUUAUUUUGAGCCUCACCCUCGAUUAUUGGCUUCAAAUUCAAUUCUGGGUCGGUUUCAAUUUCUUCAAAAAAUCGCAAAACAGUGAGAUUCACUUCGUUGCAGAGUGUUCCUGUUUAAGAUUGUUGAUUGUUGUGGGGUUGUUGGGAAGUGUGUGA